rnacentral:rRNA from 1 species
CGUGCCGUGACGGUGUUGGGUUAAGUCCCGCAACGAGCGCAACCCCGCCGUAGUUGCCAGCGGUUCGGCCGGGCACUCUAACGGGACUGCCCGCGAAAGCGGGAGGAAGGAGGGGACGACGUCUGGUCAGCAUGGCCCUUACGGCCUGGGCGACACACGUGCUACAAUGCCCACUACAAAGCGAUGCCACCCGGCAACGGGGAGCUAAUCGCAAAAAGGUGGGCCCAGUUCGGAUUGGGGUCUGCAACCCGACCCCAUGAAGCCGGAAUCGCUAGUAAUCGCGGAUCAGCCAUGCCGCGGUGAAUACGUUCCCGGGCCUU